UACAGAGGUCCCAAGCGUUGUUCGGAUUCAUUGGGCGUAAAGGGUGCGUAGGCGGCGCGGUAAGUCGGGUGUGAAAUCUCGGGGCUUAACUCCGAAACUGCAUUCGAUACUGCCGUGCUUGAGGACUGGAGAGGAGACUGGAAUUCCUGGUGUAGCGGUGGAAUGCGCAGAUAUCAGGAGGAACACCGGUGGCGAAGGCGGGAUCCUGGGCCAGUACUGACGCUGAGGAGCGAAAGCGUGGGGAGCAAACAGG
rnacentral:rRNA from 1 species